rnacentral:rRNA from 1 species
CGAACGCUGGCGGCGUGCUUACCACAUGCAAGUCGACCGGAAAGGCCCUGCUUUUGUGGGGUGCUCGAGUGGCGAACGGGUGAGUAACACGUGAGUAGCCUGCCCUUGACUUUGGGAUAACUUCAGGAAACUGGGGCUAAUACCGGAUAGGAGCUCCUGCUGCAUGGUGGGGGUUGGAAAGUUUCGGCGGUUGGGGAUGGACUCGCGGCUUAUCAGCUUGUUGGUGGGGUAGUGGCUUACCAAGGCUUUGCCGGGUAGCCGGCCUGGGAGGGUGACCGGCCACAUUGGGACUGAGAUACGGCCCAGACUCCUACGGGAGGCAGCAGUGGGGAAUAUUGCACAAUGGGCGGAAGCCUGAUGCAGCAACGCCGCGUGCGGGAUGACGGCCUUCGGGUUGUAAACCGCUUUCGCCUGUGACGAAGCGUGAGUGACGGUAAUGGGUAAAGAAGCACCGGCUAACUACGUG